GUGGGGAAUAUUGCGCAAUGGGGGAAACCCUGACGCAGCAACGCCGCGUGAAGGAUGAAGGUUUUCGGAUUGUAAACUUCUUUGACAGGGGACGAAAUUUGACGGUACCCUGAAAACAAGUCACGGCUAACUACGUGCCAGCAGCCGCGGUAAUACGUAGGUGACAAGCGUUAUCCGGAUUUACUGGGUGUAAAGGGCGUGUAGGCGGGUUUGCAAGUCAGAUGUGAAAUCCCGGGGCUUAACUCCGGAACUGCAUCUGAAACUGUAGAUCUUGAGUAUCGGAGAGGAAAGUGGAAUUCCCAGUGUAGCGGUGAAAUGCGUAGAGAUUGGGAGGAACACCAGUGGCGAAGGCGGCUUUCUGGACGAUAACUGACGCUGAGGCGCGAAAGCGUGGGGAGCAA
rnacentral:rRNA from 1 species